GACGAACGCUGGCGGCGUGCUUAACACAUGCAAGUCGAGCGAGGCCCCUCCUUCGGGAGGGUGUCCUAGCGGCGAACGGGUGAGUAACACGUGGGCAACCUGCCCUCAGCUCUGGGAUAACUCCGGGAAACCAGGGCUAAUACCGGAUACGACCUCCACGGGCAUCUGCGGAGGUGGAAAGUUUUUCGGCUGAGGAUGGGCCCGCGGCCUAUCAGCUAGUUGGUGGGGUAGUGGCCCACCAAGGCGACGACGGGUAGCCGGCCUGAGAGGGCGACCGGCCACACUGGGACUGAGACACGGCCCAGACUCCUACGGGAGGCAGCAGUGGGGAAUAUUGCGCAAUGGGCGAAAGCCUGACGCAGCGACGCCGCGUGAGGGACGAAGGCCUUCGGGUUGUAAACCUCUUUCAGCAGGGACGAAGCGAAAGUGACGGUACCUGCAGAAGAAGCACCGGCCAACUACGUG
rnacentral:rRNA from 1 species